rnacentral:rRNA from 1 species
AGUGAACGCUGGCGGUAGGCCUAACACAUGCAAGUCGAACGGCAGCACAGUAAGAGCUUGCUCUUACGGGUGGCGAGUGGCGGACGGGUGAGGAAUACAUCGGAAUCUACUUUUUCGUGGGGGAUAACGUAGGGAAACUUACGCUAAUACCGCAUACGACCUACGGGUGGAAGCAGGGGAUCUUCGGACCUUGCGCGAUUGAAUGAGCCGAUGUCGGAUUAGCUAGUUGGCGGGGUAAAGGCCCACCAAGGCGACGAUCCGUAGCUGGUCUGAGAGGAUGAUCAGCCGCACUGGAACUGAGACACGGUCCAGACUCCUACGGGAGGCAGCAGUGGGGAAUAUUGGACAAUGGGCGCAAGCCUGAUCCAGCCAUACCGCGUGGGUGAAGAAGGCCUUCGGGUUGUAAAGCCCUUUUGUUGGGAAAGAAGAGCAGCAGGUUAAUACCCCGCCGUUCUGACGGUACCCAAAGAAUAAGCACCGGCUAACUUCGUG